rnacentral:rRNA from 1 species
AGAGUUUGAUCCUGGCUCAGAUUGAACGCUGGCGGAAUGCUUUACACAUGCAAGUCGAACGAUGAACCUUAGCUUGCUAAGGGGAUUAGUGGCGAACGGGUGAGUAAUAUAUCGGAACGUACCUUGUAAUGGGGGAUAACUAGUCGAAAGAUUAGCUAAUACCGCAUACGCCCUGAGGGGGAAAGUAGGGGAUCUUCGGACCUUACGUUAUAAGAGCGGCCGAUAUCUGAUUAGCUAGUUGGUGGGGUAAUGGCCUACCAAGGCGACGAUCAGUAGCUGGUCUGAGAGGACGACCAGCCACACUGGAACUGAGACACGGUCCAGACUCCUACGGGAGGCAGCAGUGGGGAAUUUUGGACAAUGGGCGCAAGCCUGAUCCAGCCAUUCCGCGUGAGUGAAGAAGGCCUU